GACGAGUGGCGCACGGGUGCGUAACGCGUAUAGAACCUACCCUGUACAGGGGGAUAGCCCAGAGAAAUUUGGAUUAAUACCCCGUGGUAACUAUAAAUGGCAUCAUUUAUAGUUUAAAGUUUUCGGACGGUACAGGAUGGCUAUGCGUCCUAUUAGUUAGAUGGUGAGGUAACGGCUCACCAUGGCAUCGAUAGGUAGGGGCCCUGAGAGGGGGAUCCCCCACACUGGUACUGAGACACGGACCAGACUCCUACGGGAGGCAGCAGUGAGGAAUAUUGGACAAUGGGCGUAAGCCUGAUCCAGCCAUGCCGCGUGCAGGAAGACGGCCCUAUGGGUUGUAAACUGCUUUUAUACGGGAAGAAUAAGGGACACGUGUGUCCUGGUGACGGUACCGUAAGAAUAAGGACCGGCUAACUCCGUGCCAGCAGCCGCGGUAAUACGGAGGGUCCGAGCGUUAUCCGGAAUUAUUGGGUUUAAAGGGUCCGCAGGCGGGCAAUUAAGUCAGGGGUGAAAUGGUGCGGCUCAACCGUAGCACUGCCCUUGAUACUGGUUGUCUUGAGUCAUAGUGAAGUGGCCGGAAUAUGUAGUGUAGCGGUGAAAUGCAUAGAUAUUACAUAGAACACCGAUUGCGAAGGCAGGUCACUAACUAUCGACUGACGCUGAUGGACGAAAGCGUGGGGAGCGAACGGGAUUAGAUACCCCGGUAGUCCACGCCGUAAACGAUGGAUACUAGCUGUCCGCUGCCUUGAGCAGUGGGCGGCCCAGCGAAAGUGAUAAGUAUCCCACCUGGGGAGUACGUUCGCAAGAAUGAAACUCAAAGGAAUUGACGGGGGCCCGCACAAGCGGUGGAGCAUGUGGUUUAAUUCGAUGAUACGCGAGGAACCUUACCAGGGCUUAAAUGCAUAAUGACAGGUCUAGAGAUAGACUUUUCUUCGGACAUUUUGCAAGGUGCUGCAUGGUUGUCGUCAGCUCGUGCCGUGAGGUGUCAGGUUAAGUCCUAUAACGAGCGCAACCCCUGCCGUCAGUUGCCAGCAAGUAAAGUUGGGGACUCUGACGGGACUGC
rnacentral:rRNA from 1 species